rnacentral:rRNA from 1 species
AACGAACGCUGGCGGCAGGCCUAACACAUGCAAGUCGAACGCUCCGCAAGGGGAGUGGCAGACGGGUGAGUAACGCGUGGGAACCUUCCCAGUGGUACGGAAUAGCCCAGGGAAACUUGGGGUAAUACCGGAUAAGCCCGAGAGGGGAAAGAUUUAUCGCCAUUGGAUGGGCCCGCGUCGGAUUAGCUAGUUGGUGAGGUAAAGGCUCACCAAGGCGACGAUCCGUAGCUGGUUUGAGAGAACGACCAGCCACACUGGGACUGAGACACGGCCCAGACUCCUACGGGAGGCAGCAGUGGGGAAUAUUGGACAAUGGGCGCAAGCCUGAUCCAGCCAUGCCGCGUGAGUGACGAAGGCCUUCGAGUUGUUAAACUACUUUUAGUCAGGGACGAUAAUGACGGUACCU